rnacentral:rRNA from 1 species
AAGUUGCAUGGUGUAGACCCGAAACCGGGUGACCUAUCCAUGGCCAGGUUGAAGCGAGAGUAAAAUCUCGUGGAGGACCGAACCACGUUGGUGUUGAAAAACCAUGGGAUGAGCUGUGGAUAGCGGAGAAAUUCCAAUCGAACUCGGAGAUAGCUGGUUCUCCUCGAAAUAGCUUUAGGGCUAGCGUCGUGUAAUUGAGUAAUGGAGGUAGAGCACUGAAUGGGCUAGGGGCUAUAGUAGUUACCGAACCCUAUCAAACUCCGAAUGCCAUAUACUUGUAUCACGGCAGUCAGACUGCGAAUGAUAAGAUCCGUAGUCAAAAGGGAAACAGCCCAGACCAUCAGCUAAGGUCCCAAAGUGUAAGUUAAGUGGAAAAGGAUGUGGGAUUUCUAAGACAACUAGGAUGUUGGCUUAGAAGCAGCCACUCAUUUAAAGAGUGCGUAAUAGCUCACUAGUCAAGAGAUCCUGCGCCGAAGAUGUCCGGGGCUCAAACUUACCACCGAAGCUAUGGGUGUACACUAUGUGUACGCGGUAGAGGAGCUUUCUGUAUGGGUUGAAGUCGUACCGUAAGGAGCGGUGGACUGUACAGAAGUGAGAAUGCUGGCAUAAGUAGCGAGAAAUAAGUGAGAAUCUUAUUGGCCGAAAACCUAAGGUUUCCUGAGGAAGGUUCGUCCGCUCAGGGUUAGUCGGGACCUAAGCCGAGGCCGAAAGGCGUAGGUGAUGGACAAUCGGUUGAUAUUCCGAUACC